UCGCCUGUUUAUCAAAAACAUAGCUUAUUGUCUCCACAAUAAUAAGUAAGUCCUGCCCAGUGAUAUAUUUAACGGCCGCGGUAUCCUGACCGUGCAAAGGUAGCAUAAUCAUUUGUCUCCUAAUUAGUGACUAGUAUGAAUGGAUAAACGAGUUUCUUACUGUCUCCUUUACUUUAAUAAAAAUUAAUCUCCAGGUGAAGAAGCCUGAAUUAUAAUAAAAGACAAGAAGACCCUGUCGAGCUUCAUCUAAAAUUAAACCUCCAUACAAAUCCUUUAAUUUAGAUUUGGUUGGGGCGACAAAGGAAAACAUAAAUCUUCCUUUAAUACCUAAGAUCUCACAUCUAAAAAAGAUCCAAUUUUUGAUCAAAGACAAAAGCUACCGCAGGGAUAACAGUCUAAUCCUCCUCAAGAGCUCACAUCUAAAGGAGGGAUUGGCACCUCGAUGUUGGCUUAGGAACUCUUUUAAACGCAGCCGUUUUCAAAGAAGGUUUGUUCAACCUUUAAACUCCUACGUGAUCUGAGUUCAGACCGGAUCG
rnacentral:rRNA from 1 species